GAGGAAGGUGGGGAUGACGUCAAAUCAUCAUGCCCCUUAUGCUUAGGGCUACACACGUGCUACAAUGGGUAGUACAGAGGGUUGCCAAGCCGUAAGGCGGAGCUAAUCCCUUAAAGCUACUCUCAGUUCGGAUUGUAGGCUGAAACUCGCCUACAUGAAGCUGGAGUUACUAGUAAUCGCAGAUCAGAAUGCUGCGGUGAAUGCGUUCCCGGGUCUUGUACACACCGCCCGUCACACCACGGGAGUUGGAGACGCCCGAAGCCGAUUAUCUAACCUUUUGGAAGAAGUCGU
rnacentral:rRNA from 1 species